rnacentral:lncRNA from 1 species
CCUUUUUUUCCUGGACUCUUUUAUUCUCUUUUUUUUUGUCCAGCGGGUCAAUUUAUGCGAAGUAUUUUUUGACUACAUCUGAGUUAACAGGGGACGGAAAAUCUUCACCAUCCAUAGUUGUAAGCAUCAAGGCUCUACCGGAGAAAACCUUCUUCACAACAUAUGGACCUUCAUAAUUAGGAGUCCACUUGCCUCUGUU